AAAGUCUCAAAGCCAGGAGAGAAGUGGAGAAGCCUCCAAUGAGACUCCACCAAAACUGCAAAAUGACAAUCUGCAGGAGGAGGCAAAAACAGAAAAGGUGGAGCUGCUGGAGCAGCACUGCAGGGACAGUGGCCACCCACAAGACCACCAGGAAAAAGGGGAGUGCCUCAGCGAAGCUCCCCCAGCCGAGGUAG